GGAGAAGUGGCUGAGUGGUUGAAAGCGGCAGAUUGCUAAUCUGUUGUAUAAAAUUCAUUAUACCGAGGGUUCGAAUCCCUUCUUCUCCU
rnacentral:tRNA from 1 species